CUGCCCAAAAUGCUUGAGCACUGGCUAGCUGGGUUGUGGCUGUUGGGCCUUCGUGCCAUGUCACGCAUGCCCUUAACAGGCGGAUUCGUUCAUGGGCGCAGCAUUGCUUGUCAUUGUUGCCCUCCUCUGAUGUGUCCGUGCUGGGCGAACCUCUCAAAGCAUCACACGGUAAUUGCCCACCACAGCUCGUUGCUUGGUCACCCGCUGGGUCUAGACGUGCAGGAUGCUCAUCCAGGUUCCGGACUGUCAAUGUUGACGCGUGUGUAUGGGCGAUGCUACCGUACGGAGGGCUUUUCCGUGCGCGUACACGCUCGCGUCACGUCCGUGAUACCCUGGCUCUGACUGCCGACUCGUAGACGUGGUGUGAUCCAUUCGGCGACGAAGCUGCAAUUGGCCAGACACAUGUCCAACCCCAGCACUGCGGCCAUGUGUCGGUCG
rnacentral:rRNA from 1 species